rnacentral:rRNA from 1 species
UACGUAGGGGGCAAGCGUUGUCCGGAUUUAUUGGGCGUAAAGAGCGUGUAGGCGGCCAUACAGGUCAGCUGUGAAAACUCGAGGCUCAACCUCGAGACGUCGGUUGAAACCGUAUGGCUAGAGUCCGGAAGAGGAGAGUGGAAUUCCCGGUGUAGCGGUGAAAUGCGCAGAGUAUCGGGAAGAACACCCGUGGCGAAGGCGGCUCUCUGGGACGGUACUGACGCUGAGACGCGAAAGCGUGGGGAGCGAACAGG